rnacentral:rRNA from 1 species
AGUGAACGCUGGCGGUAGGCCUAACACAUGCAAGUCGAACGGCAGCACAGUAAGAGCUUGCUCUUACGGGUGGCGAGUGGCGGACGGGUGAGGAAUACAUCGUAAUCUACUUUUUCGUGGGGGAUAACGUAGGGAAACUUACGCUAAUACCGCAUACGACCUACGGGUGAAAGCAGGGGAUCUUCUGACCUUGCGCGAUUGAAUGAGCCGAUGUCGGAUUAGAUAGUUGGCGGGGUAAAGGCCCACCAAGGCGACGAUCCGUAGCUGGUCUGAGAGGAUGAUCAGCCACAAUGGAACUGAGACACGGACCAGACUACUACGGGAGGCAGCAGUGGGGAAUAUUGGACAAUGGGCGCAAGCCUGAUCCAGCCAUACCGCGUGGGUGAAGAAGGCCUUCGGGUUGUAAAGCCCUUUUGUUGGGAAAGAAAAGCAGCAGGUUAAUACCCCGCUGUUCUGACGGUACCCAAAGAAUAAGCACCGGCUAACUUCGUG